UACAGAGGUCUCGAGCGUUGUUCGGAUUCAUUGGGCGUAAAGGGCGCGUAGGCGGCGGGGUAAGUCUGGUGUGAAAUCUCGGAGCUCAACUCCGAAAUUGCACUGGAUACUGCUCUGCUAGAGGGCUGGAGAGGAGAUCGGAAUUCACGGUGUAGCAGUGAAAUGCGUAGAUAUCGUGAGGAAGACCAGUGGCGAAGGCGGAUCUCUGGACAGCUACUGACGCUGAGGCGCGAAGGCCAGGGGAGCAAACGGG
rnacentral:rRNA from 1 species